UACGUAGGGUGCGAGCGUUGUCCGGAAUUAUUGGGCGUAAAGAGCUCGUAGGCGGUCUGUCGCGCCGAAUGUGAAAACCCGGGGCUCAACUCCGGGCUUGCAUUCGAUACGGGCAGGCUAGAGUUCGGUAGGGGAGUCUGGAAUUCCUGGUGUAGCGGUGAAAUGCGCAGAUAUCAGGAGGAACACCGGUGGCGAAGGCGGGACUCUGGGCCGAUACUGACGCUGAGGAGCGAAAGCGUGGGGAGCGAACAGG
rnacentral:rRNA from 1 species